UACGGUCCUGAGUGUGGGGAAAAGAGAGAUGAUGCUUGGGAGUUUGGGGGCCAAGUCACUCCACUCCCACCUUGUGGCCCAGCUGAGAAAGAGUGAGACUGAUCUCUCUGAUCAGCGGCACAGAGCCGGGGAACUCAGAGCUCUCUGGAUUGUGAAGCCCGAACUGCUUUGUGCAACACCACUGGGAUUCUGGUUCAAGAGUCUCCAAUAUGCCUACAUCUUCUGAGUGGCAAGACUAUGCUGAACAGUUCUGUCCUGUGCGGCCAAGAUCACCAGGAGCUAAGGUGAGAGUUGCUCAUAUUCACACCACAUGUGGGACAUUCACAGACAGCAGACGGAAGAGACUUUCACGACCGUCUUCAAGCCCAGCUUCCAGAGGCAGAAGGACAGUGAAAGGACAUUGUGGCAUUCUGUCUCCCAGCAGCCCGCGAUUCAACAUUAAAUAUUAAUCACUGUUCCAUUUACACUUUAGCAAUCUUAACAUAAUGUAAUAUAACAACGACAUGGAAUAAACAUUGUUUAA